rnacentral:rRNA from 1 species
UGAACGCUAGCGACAGGCUAACACAUGCAAGUCGAGGGGCAGCACGGGAGUAGCAAUACGAACUGGUGGCGACCGGCGCACGGGUGAGUAACGCGUAUGCAACCUACCUAUCAGAGGGGAAUAACCCGGCGAAAGUCGGACUAAUACCGCAUAAAACAGGGGCACCGCAUGGUGAUAUUUGUUAAAGAGAUUCGCUGAUAGAUGGGCAUGCGUUCCAUUAGGUAGUUGGUGAGGUAACGGCUCACCAGGCCGACGAUGGAUAGGGGAACUGAGAGGUUGGUCCCCCACACUGGUACUGAGACACGGACCAGACUCCUACGGGAGGCAGCAGUGAGGAAUAUUGGUCAAUGGGCGGGAGCCUGAACCAGCCAAGUCGCGUGAAGGAAGAAGGAUCUAUGGUUCGUAAACUUCUUUUGCAGGGGAAUAAAGUGCAGGACGUGUCCUGUUUUGUAUGUACCCUGAGAAUAAGGAUCGGCUAACUCCGUGCCAGCCGCUGC